UGAUGCAAUCCAAGAAAACCAGCAAUUUCCUUUCGGCCUCCGUUUUAUGAGAGAUCCUAUUCAAGCUCUGAUAAUAAAAGGAACACAGUCCAUUUAUUGCAUCAUCUCUUUUCGAUCUGCACAGUUUUAUUCCCAGUGAUUUAAGAUUCUUGGACACUUCUUGACGAUAAACAUCUCUUUUGAAAUACUCGGGAAGAAUGACAUAGCUUUGUGGUGGGAGCUAUUAGUGUUCUGAGCUUGACACCAGAUGCCACAUCUAGAGGAGGUCACUUAAAAUUCCUAUUGCUGCACUUACGAGAUAAUCCCACUGCGAACAGGAGCAGCAAGCCCAGAAUCACUUCCUACCGCUACACAACAGAGAAGAGACUUGAUUUGAAAAUAACAGCAGUAAGAACAUCCACACUGUCAAACAGGUGAGUUCCUUUGUUUGUUAGAUCCUGGUUCUCUGCUUGUUUAUGGUGUUUUC
rnacentral:lncRNA from 1 species